rnacentral:misc_RNA from 1 species
GAUGAAGAACGUAGCGAAAUGCGAUAAGUAAUGUGAAUUGCAGAAUCCAGUGAAUCAUCGAAUCUUUGAACGCACAUUGCGCCCGCCAGCAUUCUGGCGGGCAUGCCUGUUCGAGCGUCAUUUCAACCCUCGACCUCCCCUUGGGGAGGUCGGCGUUGGGGACCGGCAGCACACCGCCGGCCCUGAAAUGGAGUGGCGGCCCGUCUGCGGCGACCUCUGCGUAGUAAUACAGCUCGCACCGGAACCCCGACGCGGCCACGCCGUAAAACACCCAACUUCUGAACGUUGACCUCGAAUCAGGUAGGACUACCCGCUGAACUUAAGCAUAUCAAAAGCGGAGGA